GCGGGGAAAGAAGACCCCUUUUGAGCUUGACUCUAAUCUGGCAGUGUAAGGAGACAUAAGAGGUGUAGAAUAAGUGGGAGAUAUUAGACUUCGGUUUGGUAUCGACAAUGAAAUACCACUACUCUUAUUGUUUCCUUACUUACUUGAUUAAAUGGAACGUGUAUCAUUUCCUAGCCAUUAUACGGAUAUAAUUAUUAUGUCUUAUGGUAUUGGGUUUUGAUGCAAGCUUCUUGAUCAAAGUAUCACGAGUUUGUUAUAUAAUCGCAAACAAAUUCUUUAAUGAGAGAAUGCAUUUAUGUAUUAUUGAUUUAAAAAUUUGGUAUAACUCCAAUUACUCAGGUAUGAUCCAAUUCAAGGACAUUGCCAGGUAGGGAGUUUGACUGGGGCGGUACAUCUCUCAAAUAAUAACGGAGGUGUCCCAAGGCCAGCUCAGUGCGGACAGAAACCACACAUAGAGCAAAAGGGCAAAUGCUGACUUGAUCUCGGUGUUCAGUACACACAGGGACAGCAAAAGCUCGGCCUAUCGAUCCUUUUGGUUUAAAGAG
rnacentral:ncRNA from 1 species